CGCAAGGGCCCGGAGAGAGUGGAGAUGACAAAUAUGGCUUUGGCUUUGUACUGGUUUAUUUAUGUGGUGGCAAGAGGGCAGAACCCCAAGGCUGAAAAGCCCCUCCACUCUCACUCCUCACCCCGGGGAGGUGGGAGGUUCUGCAGGCAGCAGGAGGAAAGCUCUGUGUCCCAGCCUCCCCGGCACUGGCCACUUGCUUCCUUAGGGCAGUGCCCCACGGGGACACGCUGGGUCUCCUGGGUUAUUUGGGGCUGUGGGGACUGUGUGGGAGCCUGGGGAGCCUGCUUUCCUGGUGAGGUCAUUGUUCUUGGAGUCAUUACCUUGCUUUCCUUGGCCUGAGCCAACAGCAAGAAUGCUUUGGAAGAGUGUUUGUUUGGGAAACAGUGACUCUCUGCCUAGUUACGUCCAAGCAGGCCAGCUUGCCGCCAGACCCCUGGCCUUUGGCAGGGCUUCAGUCCUGCAGGUACCAACCCUUGUCACCUGCCUCAGAAGCUGCCUAGGGGGAUGGGCUGGGGCUGGAACAAGCAGCCAGGGCCUAUGGUCUCCGGACCAGUGUGCUCUCUGUAGAUUUCAUCUGAGGGCUAAUUUAGCUGGAAGGGAAUGCGGGCAAGAGGCCAAGGGCAGCAGUUGGCAGCAAGCAGGCAACCCCUGGAGAAACAGAGUCGUUUGGAUUCGGAGGGGUGGUCACUGCCCUGAACUUCUUGUGAGCUGUGGGUCACUGGCCUGCGCUGACCUGGCAGGACGUGUGGCCACGUCGGGCUGCAGUCUGCCUGGCUCUACAGCCCUCACGCCUGUCUUGAGCUGCCUGAGUCACUUCUCCCCACGCCCAGCUCUGCCUCUUUCUGAAUGGAGCGGAUUAUCAUAACACCAUAUGUCAGAAGAGCAAUUCACAAUUUACAAGGCCCCUUUCUGCACCAGCUUGCUUCUGAUCUUCCAUUGGGACUGCGAGGUUGAGCGGACAGCUCUCUGCUGUGGUCUGGGAAAGCAGGAGAAGAUGGCCCAAGUCCUUGGGCCCCUGCACACACGUGGGAGACUGGGAAGAAGCUCCUAGCUCCUGGCUUUGGAUCGGCGCAGCUCCGGCUGUUGCGGCCAUUUGGGGAGUGAACCAAUGGAAGGAAGACCUUUCUCUGUCUCUUCCUCUCACUAUCUGUAACUCUACCUCUCAAAUAAAUAAAUAAAAUCUUAAAAAAAAAGAAAGUAGUCAUUUAAAGUGCCAGUGGGGGAUCAGUGGGGCUCCAAUGAGUGCAGGAAGUAACCUGAAGUUACAUCAGCCCACCUGGGCUCCCCACACUUCCUUCCCUCAGCAUUUUGCCCACUUUGAUGCAGUUUGUCCAUGAACUCACAAGACAGACACAUUCGAAUAUGUUGUCCCCAGCAACACAGUCUCAGUGCUCACAACAGACAGAGCGUGGGCAAGUGACCAUUGUGGACAUGUGCCGGCCUUGAUGUUGGACGGGUCCCAGCUCCCACCCCUUCACCGUGCCAGACAUUGGUCUGUGGGGAGGUCAGUGGCAGGCCCAGCGGACAGACUGGGUAACAGGGCCAGUGGGGUGCAGACGGUGCUUCAGGGAGCUCCUGGCAUCAUUAGCAGGUGGCGUGGAAGCCCCUUGCACAUGUCCAUACUGGUAAGGCUACGGCACACGCCAAUUGCACGUUUGCACUAUUUUUUAUUAUUGCACUACAUUUGAAGGAAGACAGGACAUUUUCACCUGCUGAGGAAACAGUCUCCAGGAGGUGCAACAAUGUCUCGAGUUCUUGCAGCCAGAGUAUUUC